CAAUAGCGUAUAUUAAAGUUGUUGCAGUUAAAAAGCUCGUAGUUGGAUUUCUGGUCGGAGCGACCGGUCGGCGUCCUUUGUGGCGUGUGCACUGUUGUCGGCUCCGUCCAUCCUAGUGGGAAGGCGUGUUGGCAUUCAUUUGUCGGCGCGUGGCCCCGCUACGUUUACUGUGAAAAAAUUAGAGUGUUUAAAGCAGGCGUUCGCUGUGAAUACAUUAGCAUGGAAUAAUGAGAUAGGACUUUGGUACUAUUUUGUUGGUUUGCGCACCAAGGUAAUGAUUAAUAGGGAUAGUUGGGGGUAUUCAUAUUCAAUUGUCAGAGGUGAAAUUCUUGGAUUUAUGGAAGAUGAACUUAUGCGAAANCANNNACCAAGGAUGUUUUCAUNAA
rnacentral:rRNA from 1 species